GACGAACGCUGGCGGCGUGCCUAAUACAUGCAAGUAGAACACUGAAGAGAGGAGCUUGCUCUUCUUGGAUGAGUUGCGAACGGGUGAGUAACGCGUAGGUAACCUGCCUUGUAGCGGGGGAUAACUAUUGGAAACGAUAGCUAAUACCGCAUAACAAUGGAUGACACAUGUCAUUUAUUUGAAAGGGGCAAUUGCUCCACUACAAGAUGGACCUGCGUUGUAUUAGCUAGUAGGUGAGGUAAUGGCUCACCUAGGCGACGAUACAUAGCCGACCUGAGAGGGUGAUCGGCCACACUGGGACUGAGACACGGCCCAGACUCCUACGGGAGGCAGCAGUAGGGAAUCUUCGGCAAUGGGGGCAACCCUGACCGAGCAACGCCGCGUGAGUGAAGAAGGUUUUCGGAUCGUAAAGCUCUGUUGUAAGUCAAGAACGGGUGUGAGAGUGGAAAGUUCACACUGUGACGGUAGCUUACCAGAAAGGGACGGCUAACUACGUGCCAGCAGCCGCGGUAAUACGUAGGUCCCGAGCGUUGUCCGGAUUUAUUGGGCGUAAAGCGAGCGCAGGCGGUUUGAUAAGUCUGAAGUUAAAGGCUGUGGCUCAACCAUAGUUCGCUUUGGAAACUGUCAAACUUGAGUGCAGAAGGGGAGAGUGGAAUUCCAUGUGUAGCGGUGAAAUGCGUAGAUAUAUGGAGGAACACCGGUGGCGAAAGCGGCUCUCUGGUCUGUAACUGACGCUGAGGCUCGAAAGCGUGGGGAGCGAACAGGAUUAGAUACCCUGGUAGUCCACGCCGUAAACGAUGAGUGCUAGGUGUUGGAUCCUUUCCGGGAUUCAGUGCCGCAGCUAACGCAUUAAGCACUCCGCCUGGGGAGUACGACCGCAAGGUUGAAACUCAAAGGAAUUGACGGGGGCCCGCACAAGCGGUGGAGCAUGUGGUUUAAUUCGAAGCAACGCGAAGAACCUUACCAGGUCUUGACAUCCCGAUGCUAUUUCUAGAGAUAGAAAGUUACUUCGGUACAUCGGUGACAGGUGGUGCAUGGUUGUCGUCAGCUCGUGUCGUGAGAUGUUGGGUUAAGUCCCGCAACGAGCGCAGCCCCUAUUGUUAGUUGCCAUCAUUCAGUUGGGCACUCUAGCGAGACUGCCGGUAAUAAACCGGAGGAAGGUGGGGAUGACGUCAAAUCAUCAUGCCCCUUAUGACCUGGGCUACACACGUGCUACAAUGGUUGGUACAACGAGUUGCGAGUCGGUGACGGCGAGCUAAUCUCUUAAAGCCAAUCUCAGUUCGGAUUGUAGGCUGCAACUCGCCUACAUGAAGUCGGAAUCGCUAGUAAUCGCGGAUCAGCACGCCGCGGUGAAUACGUUCCCGGGCCU
rnacentral:rRNA from 1 species